UACAGAGGUCCCGAGCGUUGUUCGGAUUUAUUGGGAGUAAAGGGUGCGUAGGCGGCGGAGUAAGUUGGGUGUGAAAUCCCGAGGCUCAACCUCGGAAUUGCAUUCAAUACUGCUUCGCUCGAGUACUGGAGAGGAGGCUGGAAUUUACGGUGUAGCAGUGAAAUGCGUAGAUAUCGUAAGGAAGGCCGGUGGCGAAAGCGAGCCUCUGGACAGUUACUGACGCUGAUGCACGAAGGCCAGGGGAGCAAACGGG
rnacentral:rRNA from 1 species